UACGUAGGGGGCAAGCGUUGAUCGGAAUUACUGGGCGUAAAGCGUGCGCAGGCGGCUUUGCAAGACAGAUGUGAAAUCCCCGGGCUUAACCUGGGAACUGCAUUUGUGACUGCAUGGCUGGAGUGCGGCAGAGGGGGAUGGAAUUCCGCGUGUAGCAGUGAAAUGCGUAGAUAUGCGGAGGAACACCGAUGGCGAAGGCAAUCCCCUGGGCCUGCACUGACGCUCAUGCACGAAAGCGUGGGGAGCAAACAGG
rnacentral:rRNA from 1 species